CUCCGUUCAGCAACCCCUCAGAGGAAAUCUUGUCCUCAUGGAGGUGGGAAGUUUCUGACCAGCAGCCACAUGAUCAGAUUUCCCUCUUGGACACAAGGAGAAGGUGGACGAGGCAGGAGUCAGGCCAAGAACAGGAAUUACUAGACAAACAUCAAAGAACAAAAUCCACUACAGAAGCUGGACCCGAGGAAAGGGAGGCAGUGCACAACCUGGUUAAAAGUGACAGAGAAAAGAGAAGAAGAGGAAGGAGGACACACCGAGGGAACCACCAGCUGUUUCUUAGAACAGGACUCACUGAGAACAGAAAGCUCUUAAAGGAUUUUCAUCCGACCUGAAGCUCGUCUGUCUCUGUCGGGGAAACAUGAGGACUCUGGUGACCAUCCUACUUCUGACUCUCGUCUGCUUCCUGAGUUACAGCUCUGCAUAUCCAGUUGCAAAAGGAAUGUUGAAUAGGAAAGUAUGCUGUCUAAAGUCCACUCAGAUGCAGGUUCCUAAGGGAAAGAUAGCAGACGUGGCGAUGACCCCGAGUGACUGUGAACAACAAGCAAUUGUAGUCACGACUGUGUGCGAUAAGAAGCUUUGCAUUGACCACAACUGGAUCUGGGCGAAGAAUCUGUUGAAAGAAUUUGAGAAGUCAACUGCCAACAACUCGCCACCAUCUGCCCCCUUCAAUGUCACACGGUGUACAGAGAAGGUUUAAAAAAGUGUGAGGGUGUUGUUCCUUUGAGUAUCACAACUACAUGUAGAUUAUGUUCUUUAUAAACAUGCCUGUCACUGUCUGUCAGCCCUGCAGCUGAUUAAUUAAGGAUGAUUAUACACAAAAAUAUCUUUGUAGGUUAAAGGUGCUGCUUUUAACUGACACCGUGACCUAAAUAAUAACUUUUAAAAUAUCAAAACACACCAGCGGCUUCUAAGAUCAGAAACUAUCAAGUGUUUAGUGUGCAUGACUGAGUCAACAUGAAGUGAUAUUUUAUACUCAAAUCUCUACAGCUGUGUCCUAAUUAAAUGUUUUUCAGUGAUUACAGGAGGAUAUUUGAAAUGUGUGUUUAUUAUUGCUACACAAAGUGCUGCCUGUUUCUGAAUUAAAGCUUUCAUUUUGUAUUAA